rnacentral:lncRNA from 1 species
UCCAACCAGCCCCAGCCACACUUCCUAGCAUGUAGUGUUAUCAUCAUGACAUGGCUAAAGAAUCCACAACGAAACACACAUCCGUGGCACAGAUGUGGCCCACCACUACCUGCCUACAUCAAACAAAUCUGCCGUACUCCGAUAGCCAUAUCGGAGUACGACAGCGUCUUGAUGCCCCACGUAAAACACAUAAGAGCCCCGACCCUAGCCCCCAUCUUACCUCCAUUCCCGGCUGGACGUCGGCCCCAUCUUCCGAGGCCUGCUGCACGUGCAGCACAUGGAUGGGAACAUGACAAUUAGGGCAGGCACGUCAAUGGCGGAGGCAAAACAUACACGCCCCCCUCCCCCAACCAGCCCCAGCCACCCUCCAUAGCAUCAGGAACAAGAAAGAGGGCAACGGGUAACGAAUCCACAACGAAACACACAAACGUGGCACAGAUGUGGCCCACCACUACCUGCCUACAUCAAACAAAUCUGCCGUACUCCGAUAGCCAUAUCGGAGUACGACAGCGUCUUGAUGCCCCACAUAAAACACAUAAGAGCCCCGACCCUCGCCCCCAUCUUACCUCCAUUCCCGGCUGGACGUUGGCCCCUCUUCCGAGGCCUGCUGCACGUGCAGCACAUGGAUGGGAACAUGACAAUUAGCAUCAGGAACAAGAAAGAGGGCAACGGGUAACGAUUCCACAACGAAACACACAAACGUGGCACAGAUGUGGCCCACCACUACCUGCCUACAUCAAACAAAUCUGCCGUACUCCGAUAGCCAUAUCGGAGUACGACAGCGUCUUGAUGCCCCACGUAAACCACAUAAGAGCCCCGACCCUCGCCCCCAUCUUACCUCCAUUCCCGGCUGGACGUCGGCCCCAUCUUCCGAGGCCUGCUGCACGUGCAGCACAUGGAUGGGAACAUGACAAUUANNNNNNNNNNNNNNNNNNNNNNNNNNNNNNNNNNNNNNNNNNNNNNNNNNNNNNNNNNNNNNNNNNNNNNNNNNNNNNNNNNNNNNNNNNNNNNNNNNNNNNNNNNNNNNNNNNNNNNNNNNNNNNNNNNNNNNNNNNNNNNNNNNNNNNNNNNNNNNNNNNNNNNNNNNNNNUCGGGGGCCUGGGAGCUUGGGAGCCUGGGAGCCUGGGAUCCUGGGGGCUUGGGGGCCUGGGACCUUGGGAGCCUGGGAGCUUGAGAGCUUGGGAGCCUGGGGGCCUGGGAGCCGGGGGCCUGGGAGCCUGGGAGCCUGGGAGCUUGGGAGCCUGGGGGCCUGGGAGCCUGGGAGCCUGGGAGCCUGGGAGCCUGGAAGCCUGGGAGCCUGGGAGCUUGGGAGCCUGGGGGCCUGGGAGCCUGGGGGCCUGGGAGCCUGAGGGGCCUGGGAGCCGGGGGCCUGGAAGCCUGUAGGCCUGGGGGCCUGGGGGUUUGGGGGUGACACAACCAUGAAAUGGUGGUAUCGAAAGAUACCGGUUGAGGCAAGUGAAUUGAAUAAUAAUCAUUAUAGAAUCCACUUGGGCCUCAUGCCAAUAAGUUCCAGUACGGCUGGGUGGUGUGAUGUUGACCAUAGUUCGCAGGAACUACUCUCGCCUCAUGAAGCAGACAUCCAGGAAGGCAGGUUCCAGCUUUAGACAGGUAAAGCCCCUGCCCAGACGCCAGUAUGGACUUCUGCAGCAGUGCGGCAGUAGGGUGGACAGACCGGCAUCUGACAGUUAGACAACAGAGCCUAGAGCUUAACAGUAAGCUUAACAGGAUACAACACCUGGAGCCCCAACCCUCCCUUCCAUCUCACCUCCCUGAGUGAAACCCAUUCCCCCUCCCUGUCACCACCCUCCUAAAUGAAAACUUCGGCUGCAGCCCCACUAUCGGAGGUUGGCUGCACUUGCUGCACAUGUAUGAGAGCAUGAGAAUUAAAGCAGGCACUGCAAAGACAGUGCUGACACAUACACACCCAACUCCUCCAACCAGCCCCAGCCACACUUCCUAGCAUGUAGUGUUAUCAUCAUGACAUGGGUAACGAUUCCACAACGAAACACACAAACGUGGCACAGAUGUGGCCCACCACUACCUGCCUACAUCAAACAAAUCUGCCGUACUCCGAUAGCCAUAUCGGAGUACGACAGCGUCUUGAUGCCCCACGUAAAACACAUAAGAGCCCCGACCCUCGCCCCCAUCUUACCUCCAUUCCCGGCUGGACGUCGGCCCCAUCUUCCGAGGCCUGCUGCACGUGCAGCACAUGGAUGGGAACAUGACAAUUAGGGCAGGCACGUCAAUGGCGGAGGCAAAACAUACACGCCCCCCUCCCCCAACCAGCCCCAGCCACCCUCCAUAGCAUCAGGAACAAGAAAGAGGGCAACGGGUAACGAAUCCACAACGAAACACACAAACGUGGCACAGAUGUGGCCCACCACUACCUGCCUACAUCAAACAAAUCUGCCGUACUCCGAUAGCCAUAUCGGAGUACGACAGCGUCUUGAUGCCCCACAUAAAACACAUAAGAGCCCCGACCCUCGCCCCCAUCUUACCUCCAUUCCCGGCUGGACGUUGGCCCCUCUUCCGAGGCCUGCUGCACGUGCAGCACAUGGAUGGGAACAUGACAAUUAGCAUCAGGAACAAGAAAGAGGGCAACGGGUAACGAUUCCACAACGAAACACACAAACGUGGCACAGAUGUGGCCCACCACUACCUGCCUACAUCAAACAAAUCUGCCGUACUCCGAUAGCCAUAUCGGAGUACGACAGCGUCUUGAUGCCCCACAUAAAACACAUAAGAGCCCCGACCCUCGCCCCCAUCUUACCUCCAUUCCCGGCUGGACGUCGGCCCCUCUUCCGAGGCCUGCUGCACGUGCAGCACAUGGAUGGGAACAUGACAAUUAGCAUCAGGAACAAGAAAGAGGGCAACGGGUAACGAUUCCACAACGAAACACACAAACGUGGCACAGAUGUGGCCCACCACUACCUGCCUACAUCAAACAAAUCUGCCGUACUCCGAUAGCCAUAUCGGAGUACGACAGCGUCUUGAUGCCCGACAUAAAACACAUAAGAGCCCCGACCCUCGCCCCCAUCUUACCUCCAUUCCCGGCUGGACGUUGGCCCCUCUUCCGAGGCCUGCUGCACGUGCAGCACAUGGAUGGGAACAUGACAAUUAGCAUCAGGAACAAGAAAGAGGGCAACGGGUAACGAUUCCACAACGAAACACACAAACGUGGCACAGAUGUGGCCCACCACUACCUGCCUACAUCAAACAAAUCUGCCGUACUCCGAUAGCCAUAUCGGAGUACGACAGCGUCUUGAUGCCCCACGUAAAACACAUAAGAGCCCCGACCCUCGCCCCCAUCUUACCUCCAUUCCCGGCUGGACGUCGGCCCCAUCUUCCGAGGCCUGCUGCACGUGCAGCACAUGGAUGGGAACAUGACAAUUAGCAUCAGGAACAAGAAAGAGGGCAACGGGUAACGAUUCCACAACGAAACACACAAACGUGGCACAGAUGUGGCCCACCACUACCUGCCUACAUCAAACAAAUCUGCCGUACUCCGAUAGCCAUAUCGGAGUACGACAGCGUCUUGAUGCCCCACGUAAAACACAUAAGAGCCCGACCCUCGCCCCCAUCUUACCUCCAUUCCCGGCUGGACGUCGGCCCCAUCUUCCGAGGCCUGCUGCACGUGCAGCACAUGGAUGGGAACAUGACAAUUAGCAUCAGGAACAAGAAAGAGGGCAACGGGUAACGAUUCCACAACG